GGGACCGGGGCGCGGGUGCAUGUGGCGCUCGCACCGGGAACCCUAGAUGGAAAGACCCGGGCGCCCGGGGCUCCGCACCACUCAGCGCCAAAGGUGUGCCGCUCCCGGUCCCCGCCAAAACAGAAGACUUUGACUCCAAGGAGCCGUGACUCUUGGAGACGCCAGCCUAAGUACUGAGCAGUUGGUCUCCAGGUGGCAGGUUUAAAAGGCCACCGUAGUGCCUGAAAUGGGGAAGGAGAAUCCAAGAAUGAGAUUAAUCCCCACCAAGCAUAGCGCCCCUCCGUUGCCGAUCCGGUUCUCGUGGUCAUGCCCAGAAAAGAGCGCCGGACGUUCUCUGUCUCAAGGAAACCAUGAUGUUUAAAGGGAAUGAUCCAAAGUCCCAAAAAAUAAUAGAGGACACCAGCAGUUGGGAGGAUAGGAGCGGCAAGGCAGCAAUGGACACAGAGAGCCAGAGUGUCCUUUUCUCCCUGAAGCUGAAAGGCAAUGAGGAAAAAAAGGGGCAACCUGAGGAGCAACUGAGGGAGUGGGAAACAGAGCCCUUUCCCUCUGAGAGCUGAACAAGGGAGAAAGUGAAGGACAAGAUCACAGAGACCUGCCUUUUCCCUCUCAAAAUGCAGUCAAAGUCCAUGUCCCUGUUGUGGUAGAUACUGAAGAUACUAUCACUGUGGGAACUUGGGUACAGGUACACAGGAUUCCUCAGGGUUACUUCUUACCAUUGUCUGUGAAGCUACAAUUAUCUCAGAAUAGUUAUUUAAAAAGAAAGUACCAUAGACCAAAAGAGUGACAUGAGUGAUUAAAGAAAACUAAUGACUACAUGGAAAAGAUGGAAGUGGCAGUCUCUCCGUGUAUGUGCUUACUUUACAGUUUGGGUAGCAUUUGAGAUGGAUGCUGAACACCAUACCAAGACUUUAAAGAGUUGGGAGGACUUUCCAGGUGGAAGGACCAAAGUAAACAAAAAUGGAAAAGUACUCUCCUGUAGAGGAACAGUGAGUAGACCUUCUUUACUGAAUAGUGUAGAGAAACUACAGUUGUCAAAAUUAAUUUAAUCUAUUAUAAAGAGACUUCGGCCCCAUGCAGUGGCACCCACCUGUAAUCCCAGCUAUUUGGAAGGCUGAGGCAGGAGGGAAACUGAGGCAGAAUGGUCACAGAUUUC
rnacentral:lncRNA from 1 species